UCGACUGUACUUGAACAGGAUUCAUUUCUACAGUAGAUACACCCUAAUCAGUAUUCUCCAAAUACUGACAAGCUUCUCAUGUCGGAAGAAGAGUAAUGACUCCCUAGUCUGAGCCGGAAGUCUGCAUCGCUCCCAAGGUUGAAAGACCAGGGACUGUGCUUGAUGAUGGCCCCCUAACAUCAUUCCAGUUGGGGCGGACGGCUAGGGAGCGUUCGGACGGCUG
rnacentral:snoRNA from 16 species